rnacentral:rRNA from 1 species
GACGAACGCUGGCGGCGUGCUUAACACAUGCAAGUCGUACGGAAAGGCCCUGGCUUUGGUUGGGGUGCUCGAGUGGCGAACGGGUGAGUAACACGUGGGUGAUCUGCCCUGCACUUUGGGAUAAGCCUGGGAAACUGGGUCUAAUACUGGAUAGGACCAUGCUUUUGUGUGUCAUGGUGGAAAGGCUUCUUUUUGGGGCUGGUGUGGGAUGAGCUUGCGGCCUAUCAGCUUGUUGGUGGGGUAAUGGCCUACCAAGGCGUCGACGGGUAGCCGGCCUGAGAGGGUGUACAGCCACAUUGGGACUGAGUUACGGACCAGACUCCUGCGAGAGGCAGCAGUGGGGAAUAUUGCACAAUGGGCGAAAGCCUGAUGCAGCGAAGCCGCGUGAGAGAUGACGGCCUUCGGGUUGUAAACCUCUUUCGCUGGGGACGAAGCUUUUUUUGGUGACGGUACCUGGAGAAGAAGCACCGGCUAACUACGUG